GACGAACGCUGGCGGCGUGCCUAAUACAUGCAAGUCGAGCGAAGUUUUUCUGGUGCUUGCACUAGAAAAACUUAGCGGCGAACGGGUGAGUAACACGUAAAGAACCUGCCUCAUAGACUGGGACAACUAUUGGAAACGAUAGCUAAUACCGGAUAACAGUAUUUCUCGCAUGAGAGAUAUUUAAAAGUUGGUUAUGCUAACACUAUGAGAUGGCUUUGCGGUGCAUUAGCUAGUUGGUGGGGUAAAGGCCCACCAAGGCGACGAUGCAUAGCCGACCUGAGAGGGUGAUCGGCCACACUGGGACUGAGACACGGCCCAGACUCCUACGGGAGGCAGCAGUAGGGAAUCUUCCGCAAUGGGCGAAAGCCUGACGGAGCAACGCCGCGUGAGUGAAGAAGGAUUUCGGUUCGUAAAGCUCUGUUGUUAGGGAAGAAUGGAUAUGUAGUAACUAUACAUGUAAGAGACGGUACCUAACCAGAAAGCCACGGCUAACUACGUGCCAGCAGCCGCGGUAAUACGUAGGUGGCAAGCGUUGUCCGGAAUUAUUGGGCGUAAAAG
rnacentral:rRNA from 1 species